rnacentral:rRNA from 1 species
UACGUAGGGUGCGAGCGUUGUCCGGAAUCAUUGGGCGUAAAGCGCGUGUAGGCGGCUAGGUAAGUCUGCUCUGAAAGCCCGGGGCUCAACCCCGGGAGGCGGGUGGAUACUGUCUAGCUCGAGUCCGGAAGAGGAGUGUGGAAUUCCUGGUGUAGCGGUGAAAUGCGCAGAUAUCGGGAAGAACACCCGUGGCGAAGGCGGUUCUCUGGGACGGUACUGACGCUGAGACGCGAAAGCGUGGGGAGCGAACAGG